GAUGAAGAACGUAGCGAAAUGCGAUAAGUAGUGUGAAUUGCAGAAUUCAGUGAAUCAUCGAAUCUUUGAACGCACAUUGCGCCCCUUGGUAUUCCGGGGGGCAUGCCUGUUCGAGCGUCAUUUCAACCCUCAAGCUCUGCUUGGUAUUGGGCUCCGUCCUCCUCGGACGCGCCUCAAAGACCUCGGCGGUGGCGUCUUGCCUCAAGCGUAGUAGAAACACCUCGCUUUGGAGUGCAUGGCGUCGCCCGCCGGACGAAACCUUUUGUAUUUUCUCAAAGGUUGACCUCGGAUCAGGUAGGGAUACCCGCUGAACUUAAGCAUAUCAAUAAGCGGAGGA
rnacentral:misc_RNA from 1 species